rnacentral:rRNA from 1 species
GAUGCUGACGACCGGCGCACGGGUGCGUAACGCGUAUAGAACCUACCUUAUAGUAAGGGAUAGCCCAGAGAAAUUUGGAUUAAUACCUUAUGGUAUGAUUGAUUGGCAUCGAUUGAUUAUUAAAGAUUUAUCGCUAUAAGAUGGCUAUGCGUUCUAUUAGCUAGUUGGUAUGGUAACGGCAUACCAAGGCUACGAUAGAUAGGGGUCCUGAGAGGGAGAUCCCCCACACUGGUACUGAGACACGGACCAGACUCCUACGGGAGGCAGCAGUGAGGAAUAUUGGACAAUGGAGGCAACUCUGAUCCAGCCAUGCCGCGUGUAGGAAGACUGCCCUAUGGGUUGUAAACUACUUUUAUAGAGGAAGAAACCGCUCUACGUGUAGAGCUCUGACGGUACUCUACGAAUAAGGAUCGGCUAACUCCGUGCCAGCAGCCGCGGUAAUACGGAGGAUCCAAGCGUUAUCCGGAAUCAUUGGGUUUAAGGGGUCCGUAGGCGGGUCUGUAAGUCAGUGGUGAAAGUUUUCGGCUCAACCGGAAAAUUGCCAUUGAUACUGCAGGUCUCGAAUGAUUAUGAAGUGGUUAGAAUAAGUAGUGUAGCGGUGAAAUGCAUAGAUAUUACUUAGAAUACCGAUUGCGAAGGCAGAUCACUAAUAAUAUAUUGACGCUAAGGGACGAAAGCGUGGGUAGCGAACAGGAUUAGAUACCCUGGUAGUCCACGCCGUAAGCGAUGGUUACUAGCUGUUCGGUUUUCGGACUGAGUGGCUAAGCGAAAGUGAUAAGUAACCCACCUGGGGAGUACGUUCGCAAGAAUGAAACUCAAAGGAAUUGACGGGGGCCCGCACAAGCGGUGGAGCAUGUGGUUUAAUUCGAUGAUACGCGAGGAACCUUACCAGGGCUUAAAUGUAGUAUGACAG